CAUAGGGAUAUUUUCAGUAUUUGGAGCUACAGGGAAAGUGUAGCAAAAGAGUCGCCUUCAAAUAGUUUGAUUCUUCCCACCCCUUGUAAUUUUCUGAGACACAGGAAACUGAAUGGGUUCUCCAGCUCUUUUUGCACUCUUUCAAAUGAUGUACAGAAGCUAAGCAACCUGCUACUUAAUAGGAGAUGUCCUUUUGCUUGAAACACGGGAACAUUCCUCAAUGCCAUUCAAAGCAAGAAAUGGUCUAAUCCCCUGCAAGUUGCCUCUGCAGACUCCUCCUCAGUGGUGAGGCUGAAGUGUUGGUGAUGUUGUCAUGUCACAGAAAGACUGCUCCUGCUUCUCACAUGGGGAUUAGUUGAGCAAAAGGGGUUGAGCCAAAGCACAUGAGCAAAUCUGUGUAAAACUGUACAAGGCUUAACAACUGGAAAAUUAAAAGUGUUGGUAUGAGAUUUAUGUUCUGUCAAAACCUUUUAGCUAAUUAAAGGUAUGACCUACUUUCUUUUGCCUCCAGAAGCACUGGAUGGUUUAUGGAAAGCAAGUAAAUUGGUUGAAGAGAAUCGGUACCUUGGCUUUAAUUUCACCAAAGGA